CCUACGGGUGGCUGCAGUGGGGAAUAUUGCGCAAUGGGCGAAAGCCUGACGCAGCGACGCCGCGUGAGGGAUGAAGGUCUUCGGAUCGUAAACCUCUGUCUGCAGGGAAGAACGGUCACUGUGCUAAUCAGCAGUGAAUUGACGUUACCUGCAAACGUAGCACAGGCUAACUCCGUGCCAGCAGCCGCGGUAAUACGGAGGGAGCGAGCGUUAAUCGGAAUGACUGGGGGUAAAGCGCUCGUAGGCGGUUUGUCAAGUCAAGGGGGAAAUCCCCGCGCUCAACGUGGGAACUGCCUUUGAAACUGGCAAACUGGAGUGUGCGAGAGGAUAGUGGAAUUCCAGGUGUAGGAGUGAAAUCCUUAGAUAUCUGGAGGAACAUCAGUGGCGAAGGCGACUAUCUGGCACAUAACUGACGCUGAGGAGCGAAAGCGUGGGUAGCAAACAGGAUUAGAUACCCCUGUAGUC
rnacentral:rRNA from 1 species